GAUGAACGCUCGGCGGGCGAUGCCUAAUACAUGCAAGUCGAACGAAGCGUGAGUUGGAAGCUUGCUUCUGAAAGGCUUAGUGGCGAACGGGUGAGUAACACGUAGGGAACCUGCCCAGAUCACCGGGAUAACAGUUGGAAACGACUGCUAAUACCGGAUAGGCAGAGAGGAGGCAUCUCUUCUCUGUUAAAGUUGGGAUACAACGCAAACAGAUGGAUCUGCGGUGCAUUAGCUAGUUGGUGAGGUAACGGCCCACCAAGGCGAUGAUGCAUAGCCGGCCUGAGAGGGCGAACGGCCACAUUGGGACUGAGACACGGCCCAA
rnacentral:rRNA from 1 species